UAAUUGAAGAGUUUGAUCAUGGCUCAGAUUGAACGCUGGCGGCAGGCCUAACACAUGCAAGUCGAGCGGAAACGACAACACUGAAUCUUUGGAGGAUGGGUUGGGUGUCGAGCGGCGGACGGGUGAGUAAUGCCUAGGAAGUUGCCCAAUAGAGGGGGAUAACCAUUGGAAACGAUGGCUAAUACCGCAUAAUCUCCUUGGAGCAAAGCAGGGGACCGAAUGGCCUUGCGCUAUUGGAUAUGCCUAGGUGAGAUUAGCUUGUUGGUGAGGUAAUGGCUCACCAAGGCGACGAUCUCUAGCUGGUCUGAGAGGAUGAACAGCCACACUGGAACUGAGACACGGUCCAGACUCCUACGGGAGGCAGCAGUGGGGAAUAUUGCACAAUGGGCGGAAGCCUGAUGCAGCCAUGUCGCGUGUGUGAAGAAGGCCUUAGGGUUGUAAAGCACUUUCAACAGUAAGGAAGGAUGUAUGCUUAAUACGUAUAUAUUUUGACGUUAGCUGUAGAAGAAGCACCGGCUAACUCCGUGCCAGCAGCCGCGGUAAUACGGAGGGUGCGAGCGUUAAUCGGAAUUACUGGGCGUAAAGCGCAUGCAGGUGGUUCGAUAAGUCAGAUGUGAAAGCCCGGGGCUUAACCUCGGAACUGCAUUUGAAACUAUAGAGCUGGAGUACUGUAGAGGGGGGUGGAAUUUCAGGUGUAGCGGUGAAAUGCGUAGAGAUCUGAAGGAAUACCGGUGGCGAAGGCGGCCCCCUGGACAGAUACUGACACUCAGAUGCGAAAGCGUGGGGAGCAAACAGGAUUAGAUACCCUGGUAGUCCACGCUGUAAACGAUGUCUACUUGGAGGUUGUGGCUUUGAGCUGUGGCUUUCGUAGCUAACGCGUUAAGUAGACCGCCUGGGGAGUACGGUCGCAAGAUUAAAACUCAAAUGAAUUGACGGGGGCCCGCACAAGCGGUGGAGCAUGUGGUUUAAUUCGAUGCAACGCGAAGAACCUUACCUACUUUUGACAUCCAAAGAAGCCAGUGGAGACAUUGGUGUGCCUUCGGGAACUUUGAGACAGGUGCUGCAUGGCUGUCGUCAGCUCGUGUUGUGAAAUGUUGGGUUAAGUCCCGCAACGAGCGCAACCCUUAUCCUUGUUUGCCAGCGAGUAGUGUCGGGAACUUCAGGGAGACUGCCGGUGAUAAACCGGAGGAAGGUGGGGACGACGUCAAGUCAUCAUGGCCCUUACAAGUAGGGCUACACACGUGCUACAAUGGCACAUACAGAGGGUUGCAAACUAGCGAUGGUAAGCGAAUCCCAAAAAGUGUGUCGUAGUCCGGAUUGGAGUCUGCAACUCGACUCCAUGAAGUCGGAAUCGCUAGUAAUCGUAGAUCAGAACGCUACGGUGAAUACGUUCCCGGGCCUUGUACACACCGCCCGUCACACCAUGGGAGUGGGCUGCAAAAGAAGUGGGUAGUUUAACUUUCGAGAGGACGCUCACCACUUUGUGGUUCAUGACUGGGGUGAAGUCGUAACAAGGUAGCCCUAGGGGAACCUGGGGCUGGAUCACCUCCUUA
rfam:Candidatus Photodesmus blepharus strain Ppalp.1 contig26, whole genome shotgun sequence.